UACGUAGGGGGCAAGCGUUGUCCGGAUUUAUUGGGCGUAAAGAGCGUGUAGGCGGCCAUGCAGGUCCGUUGUGAAAACUCGAGGCUCAACCUCGAGACGCCGGUGGAAACCGUGUGGCUAGAGUCCGGAAGAGGAGAGUGGAAUUCCUGGUGUAGCGGUGAAAUGCGCAGAUAUCAGGAAGAACACCCGUGGCGAAGGCGGCUCUCUGGGGACGUGACUGACGCUGAGACGCGAAAGCGUGGGGAGCAAACAGG
rnacentral:rRNA from 1 species